AAGGGUAUAGCUCAGAGGUAGAGCGUGUGCUUAGCAUGCACGAGGUCCAGGGUUCGAGGUCCAGGGUUCAAGCCCCAGUGCCUCCA
rnacentral:tRNA from 1 species